CGCGUAGGCGGUUUUUUAAGUCAGAUGUGAAAGCCCGGGGCUUAACCCCGGAAGUGCAUUUGAAACUGAAGGACUUGAGUAUGGGAGAGGGAAGUGGAAUUCCUGGUGUAGAGGUGAAAUUCGUAGAUAUCAGGAGGAACACCGGUGGCGAAGGCGACUUCCUGGACCAAUACUGACGCUGAGGCGCAAGGCGUGGGGAGCAAACAGGAUUAGAUACCCUGGUAGUC
rnacentral:rRNA from 1 species